UGUCCCGAGUUCUUUGAAGUGAAACAUGGAUGAAUAUUUUCUGGGAUGACGGGGUUGGAUGCCAAACUGAAAAUUCUUACUGCAGCAAAUCUGAUAUAAUUAAAGAGCAUAAAGGUGAGGCUAGGGGCGAUUAAGAAGAAGAGGAACGCUGUGCUGAAGUAUCUGAAGAAUAAUGUUGCUGUUCUUCUCAAGCCUUCAUAUUAAUGUAUAUGGAGGGUUAAGUUUCAUGGCUCAUUAGUUUUAAUGUAUAUGAUGUGUCAAUUUUAUCAUUGUUUUGCUUGGCCUUAAUAGAAAUUAAUACAUUCCUUAAUAUUUAAAGUACAUUUGAAUUUCAUGUUAUUUGUGGAUCAACUUUCUAGUACCAAAUACAGCAGGAAAGGGAUAUGAAAAAAA